rnacentral:rRNA from 1 species
CCUAUGGGUGUAAACUGCUUUUAUACACCAAGAAAAACACUACGUGUAGGUGCCCGACGGUAGUGUAUGAAUAAGCAUCGGCUAACUCCGUGCCAGCAGCCGCGGUAAUACGGAGGAUGCGAGCGUUAUCCGGAUUCAUUGGGUUUAAAGGGUGCGUAGGCGGUCUUUUAAGUCAGUGGUGAAAUCUUGCCGCUUAACGGUAAAAUUGCCAUUGAUACUGAAAGACUUGAGUACAGUUGAGGUAAGCGGAAUGUGUAGUGUAGCGGUGAAAUGCUUAGAUAUUACACAGAACACCAAUUGCGAAGGCAGCUUACUAAACUGGCAACUGACGCUGAUGCACGAAAGCGUGGGGAGCGAACAGGAUUAGAUACCCUGGUAGUCCACGCCGUAAACGAUGCUCACUCGCUGUUUGCGAUACACAGCAAGCGGCCAAGCGAAAGCAUUAAGUGAGCCACCUGGGGAGUACGAUCGCAAGGUUGAAACUCAAAGGAAUUGACGGGGGCCCGCACAAGCGGAGGAACAUGUGGUUUAAUUCGAUGAUACGCGAGGAACCUUACCUGGGCUUAAAUGUAGAGCGACAGGUUGUGAAAGCAGUCCUUCUUCGGACGAUCUACAAGGUGCUGCAUGGUUGUCGUCAGCUCGUGCCGUGAGGUGUCGGGUUAAGUCCCAUAACGAGCGCAACCCUUAUCGUUAGUUGCCAGCGGGUCAAGCCGGGGACUCUAGCGAGACUGCCACCGUAAGGUGUGAGGAAGGUGGGGAUGACGUCAAAUCAGCACGGCCCUUAUGUCCAGGGCUACACACGUGUUACAAUGGCCGAUACAAAGGGCAGCUACCAGGUGACUGGAUGCUAAUCUCCAAAGUCGGUCUCAGUUCGGAUCGAAGUCUGCAACCCGACUUCGUGAAGCUGGAUUCGCUAGUAAUCGCAUAUCAGCCAUGAUGCGGUGAAUACGUUCCCGGGCCUUGUACACACCGCCCGUCAAACAAUGGAAGCUGGGGGUACCUGAAGUCUGUAACCGCAAGGAGCGGCCUAGGGA